AGAGAAACGAGCAGAAAAGCGGGAGAUGAACCAGAUGCAUCUUGAGAUCUUGUGAAUGUUAUUGAACUACGUUGGAACUCGAAUCUGAAUCAAUUGAAUGUGAAGUUGUCUCGACUGGUUUUUUUU